rnacentral:rRNA from 1 species
GAGAAGCCACCUUCGGGUGGUGGACAGUGGCAGACGGGUGAGUAACGCGUGGGAACGUGCCUUUCGGUUCGGAAUAACCCAGGGAAACUUGGGCUAAUGCCGGAUACGCCCUUCGGGGGAAAGAUUUAUUGCCGAAAGAUCGGCCCGCGUCGGAUUAGCUUGUUGGUGGGGUAAAAGCCUACCAAGGCGACGAUCCGUAGCUGGUCUGAGAGGAUGAUCAGCCACACUGGGACUGAGACACGGCCCAGACUCCUACGGGAGGCAGCAGUGGGGAAUAUUGGACAAUGGGCGAAAGCCUGAUCCAGCCAUGCCGCGUGGGUGAAGAAGGCCCUAGGGUUGUAAACCCCUUUCAGCGGGGAAGAUAAUGACGGUACCCGCAGAAGAAGCCCCGGCUAACUCCGUGCCAGCAGCCGCGGUAAUACGGAGGGGGCUAGCGUUGUUCGGAAUUACUGGGCGUAAAGCGCGCGUAGGCGGACUUUCAAGUCAGGGGUGAAAUCCCGAGGCUCAACCUCGGAACUGCCUUUGAUACUGUAAGUCUUGAGUCCGAGAGAGGUGAGUGGAAUUCCUAGUGUAGAGGUGAAAUUCGUAGAUAUUAGGAAGAACACCAGUGGCGAAGGCGGCUCACUGGCUCGGUACUGACGCUGAGGCGCGAAAGCGUGGGGAGCAAACAGGAUUAGAUACCCUG